GACGAACGCUGGCGGCGUGCCUAAUACAUGCAAGUCGAACGCAUUUUCUUUCACCGUAGCUUGCUACACCGAAAGAAAAUGAGUGGCGAACGGGUGAGUAACACGUGGGUAACCUGCCCAUCAGCGGGGGAUAACACUUGGAAACAGGUGCUAAUACCGCAUAAUUCCAUUUACCGCAUGGUAGAUGGAUGAAAGGCGCUUUUGCGUCACUGAUGGAUGGACCCGCGGUGCAUUAGCUAGUUGGUGGGGUAACGGCCUACCAAGGCUGCGAUGCAUAGCCGACCUGAGAGGGUGAUCGGCCACACUGGACUGAGACACGGCCCAGACUCCUACGGGAGGCAGCAGUAGGGAAUCUUCGGCAAUGGACGCAAGUCUGACCGAGCAACGCCGCGUGAGUGAAGAAGGUUUUCGGAUCGUAAAACUCUGUUGUUAGAGAAGAACAAGGAUGAGAGUGGAAAGUUCAUCCCUUGACGGUAUCUAACCAGAAAGCCACGGCUAACUACGUG
rnacentral:rRNA from 1 species